rnacentral:rRNA from 1 species
AAUAAACGUUGGCGGCGUGCUUAACACAUGCAAGUCGAGCGAGAAAGGUCUUCGGACUGAGUACAGCGGCAAACGGGUGAGUAACACGUGGGAAUCUACCUUUUAGUGAAGAAUACCCUCGAGAAAUCGAGGUUAAUACUGCAUACGUCUCGAAAGAGAGAAAGAUGGCCUCUCUGCUGUCGCUGAAAGAUGAGCCUGCGUACUAUUAGCUAGUUGGUAGGGUAAAGGCCUACCAAGGCUAUGAUGGUUAGCCGGCCUGAGAGGGUGUACGGCCACACUGGAACUUAGACACGGUCCAGACUCCUACGGAGGCAGCAGUGAGGAAUAUUGCGCAAUGGGCGAAAGCCUGACGCAGCGACGCCCGCGUCGGAGGAUGAAGGUCUUAGGAUUGUAAACUUCUGUUAAGCGGGAAG